rnacentral:misc_RNA from 1 species
AAUUCUCAACCUUUUCAGCUUUUGCGAGUUGAAUUGGCUUGGAUGUGGGGGUUUGCGGGCUUCUCAGAAGUCGGCUCCUCUUAAAUACAUUAGCGAAACCUUUGUGGACCAGCUUUGGUGUGAUAAUUAUCUACGCCAUGGCCGUGAAGCAGCUUUAUAUGGGGUUCUGCUUCUAACCGUCCAUUGACUUGGACAAUUUCUGACA